GGGAUUGUAGUUCAAUUGGUCAAAACACCGCCCUGUCAAGUCGGAAAGCUGCGGGUUCGAGCCCCGUCAGUCCC
rnacentral:tRNA from 1 species